UUUUUUUUGCAGAAAAGAUCACUGGGAAAAACUCGUGCCCUUCCCAUAGGAAAUUAACAGAUCUGAAUAUGGAUGCUACAGCUUUCACCCACUCCUUUUAUUUUCGAUUUUUCUUUACUCAGCAUAAUGCCAUCUUUUUGCUCCUAACAGCCUCAAUCAGCACUCUUGGCUGCGUCAAGGUCAGGACUGCCUGCUGUGACUGGCUUGAGAUUCAAUAACCAGCCAUAAGAGAGGUGCACAACAUGAAAUGGACACAGAUUGCUUUUUCUGUAACUCCAUUUAAUAAGCAUCUUUUCUAAACCAUGGAAAAAUAUCAUUUUUUAGGACCAAAAAGAAAUAGAAUUUACUCAUUAGUGUCUUCGACUCUAAACAACCAAUCAGAAUGAUAAUUAUUAUUAUUUCAAAACCAUCUCAGUGAUAAGCCUAAUUAAUUCUCCAGGCAAAUUCACUAACUGACAAAAGUUUUCUCAUUCAUGGGACAAUCCAAACCAACCUUUAAAACUUUAACAUGCUAAGAGACAUGCCAGUACUAUAUCUGCUUAACAGUACCCCCACAGUACACAAGAGUAUGGUUUUACUUAACUUCAUGUUUCCCAAAUAGACAUGAGUCAACCUGGCAGCUCAUGAAGCUUAAUAAUCAGACCUAUAGCAUUUUUAAAAUCAUUUUCACAUAAUACUUAUCAUUUUCCAUGCAUAUUUAGAAAUCAAGUUCUACCGAAUAAAGCAAAUACUAUUUAUCUGAUUUUCUUAUUAUAUAUCUGUGUUUUUAUUCUCCACAAAGCAGUAUUAUUAGUAUAUAAAAAUUAUCACUAGCAAUGAUCACCUCUCAUGAGAAGUAAAGUAUAACACAUUAUUACACAAAUAUUUUUAACUACAUAUUUUGGUUAUUGUACUUGUCAGUAUUGCAUCUGAUAAAGACAAAACAAAACCAUCAACAUUUUCCAAUUUAGAAAAUGAACACUGAUUAAUUUGCUGGCUGUUUUCUUGUAGACACUAGCUAGCCAGGGGUUACAUAACCACACAAACACACACCAUACACACAAUGAACCUGCUUCCAGGUUAUGUCCAUUGCUCUCAUUGAGAACUUGAAUCAACCAAUAACCUUCAAGUGCAAUGAUCAAAACAUCUGAAAGACAAUUCACCAAUUUUGAACUCAUGUUGUCCUCAACUACGUAUUUUGGCCGCUGUUGAACUUUGGCCUAUGUGUUUUCUUGGAAUUUCUAUAGUCAACCAAUAUUUACUGGGUUCCUGGCAUGUGUCAGGCCCUACUUUAGGAGCUUUUGAUUCAGCGUUGAAGAAACACAGUCAGGAAAGAAAGAUGUGUAAAAUUUUGACAAGGUCUAGGAGACAAUGAUGUGCUGUUUGCCAAAAGCACAGAGGGGGAGCACCGGCUGGUGCUCAGGGAGCUGCUCAAGACCCACGUGAGUAGUGUCCCAAUGGAGGGUUUUACUAAAGACAAUUGAUAUUCACAUCAGAUAUUUACAUACGAUUUGUAGCUUAAUUUUUCCCACUACCUAAUGAGGAUUUUAUUAGUCACUUUGACUAACUAAAAUGACAAGGUUGCCGCUGGCGUACAAACUUUGCCUAUUCUGCAUACACUUACAAAAGAAUAGAGAAUCUGCUAUGAAUUUACUUAGUCAGAACAUCAUAUUGGACAUCCACCUUCUCAGUUGUUUUUCUGGAGUGAGCGCUUUUGCCAACCACUGUUUGUUGUGUUACGUCCCAAAUCAAAUGGUUGCAGGAGUUAGAACUUCCACAUGGCCAUUGGGUACCUCAUCUCUCUCCUGUUCUGCCUACUAUUGUGUAUGAAAACUAGCACAUGCACCAAAGUACC
ensembl:lncRNA